UUCAUGCUCUUGCUGGUCCCGUCCACACCUGAACUCGCGAAGGUGUGUGCACUCAUCGCGGAGUGUAGCCUAUGUGUAGCCGCUCACCCAUCCCGCAGAGCUACGCCUGGAGGACAGGUGACUGCGGCUCCAUCCGAACGACGUGCGUGCAGGCGGGUUCCUCCCCAGAGCCGGUGGGAAGGGACGUGGGAUUCACACAAAGGCCGAUUUAGCCAAAAGGUGGCACUGCGGCUGCACAGAUUCGCAGCCGAUCGGCGGUCCCGCAGAAGUUGAGCCCUGCGGUCCGUUAUCCGAACUCCGCGUUUCGUACCUUGAGAUCGUGAACCUGAAUGACCGAAUAGAACAACAACCAAACAAAAGAGUGAUCAGUACCUGCAAGCGUGCUGCCAAAGUGCACAAAACAUUUAGCUACUUGUCCUACACAUACAGACUGCUUCUUCUGACUGUCUGCAAGAAGAGAGAUGUUCCUCAGUAAGGUGUUCUCAGGACAGAUCCUGAGCUCUUUGAAGGGGUUCUGAGAGUGAUGCCAUCACUGCUGGAAUGCUUCAUUAGCGGGGUGGCAGUUUUCUUGUGCAGCCAGCUGGGCUGAUGAAGCCUGGGGCGGGAAGCAGGCAAAUCAAAGUUAAAAAAGAGAAAGAAAAAAAAAGAAACUGAAAAAAUAGGGAAAAAAAAUGAAAGAAAUAUCACGUAAGGAAAAGGAGCACCCCCAGGAGGAGCGCUGCGGACAGACCCCAAGCUCUACGGGGCAUCGAGGUGGAGGCUGGUUCCAUUGAGCGCAGGAGGAGGAGAAGGAGGAGGAGGAGGAGAA